rnacentral:lncRNA from 1 species
AUCCAAGGCUGAGGAGUGAGAUCUGCAAGGUGCUAGCACAUUGAUGAUCUCGAUGCUCUAAUUAGAUAUUUCUGUAUGGAUACCAGUAGAGGUCAGACACGUGCGCGGCUACGAUCAGAAUCCCAGACAUCCGUAGGAUCCAAAGUAUGGAGAUCUGAUCUCCAUUUUGAUUUUACUAACGAUUGUUUUUCAUUUCAAAUUUUAGAUCAUGGG